UCGACUUGGAGGUUGUGCCCUUGAGGCGUGGCUUCCGGAGCUAACGCGUUAAGUCGACCGCCUGGGGAGUACGGCCGCAAGGUUAAAACUCAAAUGAAUUGACGGGGGCCCGCACAAGCGGUGGAGCAUGUGGUUUAAUUCGAUGCAACGCGAAGAACCUUACCUACUCUUGACAUCCAGAGAACUUAGCAGAGAUGCUUUGGUGCCUUCGGGAACUCUGAGACAGGUGCUGCAUGGCUGUCGUCAGCUCGUGUUGUGAAAUGUUGGGUUAAGUCCCGCAACGAGCGCAACCCUUAUCCUUUGUUGCCAGCGGUCCGGCCGGGAACUCAAAGGAGACUGCCAGUGAUAAACUGGAGGAAGGUGGGGAUGACGUCAAGUCAUCAUGGCCCUUACGAGUAGGGCUACACACGUGCUACAAUGGCAUAUACAAAGAGAAGCGACCUCGCGAGAGCAAGCGGACCUCAUAAAGUAUGUCGUAGUCCGGAUUGGAGUCUGCAACUCGACUCCAUGAAGUCGGAAUCGCUAGUAAUCGUAGAUCAGAAUGCUACGGUGAAUACGUUCCCGGGCCU
rnacentral:rRNA from 1 species